rnacentral:misc_RNA from 1 species
AAAUUAGCAGUGACCCUGUUGUGCACACUGGGCAACGUAGGGAGGGCCUUUGGGCUAGAAUUGAAAAAAGAUACAACGAACAGAGGGGGAACUUUCCUUGCCGAGUGAACAGAGCGCUUAGCAGCAGAUGGGAUAAGAUAAGAGCAGAUGUAAGUAAGUUUGCUGGCUACUAUGCAAGAGUUCUUAGAGAGAAACAAAGUGGGUUAACUGAUGACGACAAGACUUCGAAGGCCGCAACAUUAUUUGCACACGAGGAGAACAAAAAUUUCCAGUACAUGCAUUGCUGGCACCAACUAAAGGGAGAACCGAAAUGGGAGAGCAUUUGUAGUGGCCAAUCGUUCCGCGGAUUGAAUGCAAAUCCAGUUGGGUCAACAGGUACUCCGUCUGCUCCGACAACUGAAAAUGAUAGUUCAUCAGCAGGGUUGACAGGAAAACGGCCGCGUGGUCGUGAUUUCAGUAAAUCAGAG